UACGUAGGGGGCAAGCGUUGUCCGGAUUUAUUGGGCGUAAAGAGCGUGUAGGCGGCCAGACAGGUCCGUUGUGAAAACUCGAGGCUCAACCUCGAGAUGUCGAUGGAAACCGUCUGGCUAGAGUCCGGAAGAGGAGUGUGGAAUUCCUGGUGUAGCGGUGAAAUGCGCAGAUAUCAGGAAGAACACCUAUGGCGAAGGCAGCUCGCUGGGACGGUACUGACGCUGAGACGCGAAAGCGUGGGGAGCGAACAGG
rnacentral:rRNA from 1 species